UAUCCCAGAGACUUGUCAAGUUGGUACCA
rnacentral:piRNA from 1 species